AUGAACGCUGGCGGCGUGCCUCAUCCCUGCAAGUCGAGCGAACAGACGAGGAGCUUGCUCCUUUGACGUUAGCGGCGGACGGGUGAGUAACACGUAGGUAACCUACCUAUAAGACUGGGAUAACUUCGGGAAACCGGAGCUAAUACCGGAUAAUAUUUCGAACCGCAUGGUUCGAUAGUGAAAGAUGGCUUUGCUAUCACUUAUAGAUGGACCUGCGCCGUAUUAGCUAGUUGGUAAGGUAACGGCUUACCAAGGCAACGAUACGUAGCCGACCUGAGAGGGUGAUCGGCCACACUGGAACUGAGACACGGUCCAGACUCCUACGGGAGGCAGCAGUAGGGAAUCUUCCGCAAUGGGCGAAAGCCUGACGGAGCAACGCCGCGUGAGUGAUGAAGGUCUUCGGAUCGUAAAACUCUGUUAUUAGGGAAGAACAAACGUGUAAGUAACUGUGCACGUCUUGACGGUACCUAAUCAGAAAGCCACGGCUAACUACGUG
rnacentral:rRNA from 1 species